rnacentral:rRNA from 1 species
GACGAACGCUGGCGGCGUGCUUAACACAUGCAAGUCGAACGCUGAAGCUCAGCUUUUGUUGGGUGGAUGAGUGGCGAACGGGUGAGUAACACGUGAGUAACCUGCCCCCUUCUUUGGGAUAACGCCCGGAAACGGGUGCUAAUACUGGAUAUUCACUGGUCUUCGCAUGGGGGUUGGUGGAAAGGGUUUUUCUGGUGGGGGAUGGGCUCGCGGCCUAUCAGCUUGUUGGUGGGGUGAUGGCCUACCAAGGCUUUGACGGGUAGCCGGCCUGAGAGGGUGACCGGUCACAUUGGGGCGGAGAUACGGCCCAGACUCCUACGGGAGGGGGCAGUGGGGAAUAUUGCACAAUGGGCGCAAGCCUGAUGCAGCGACGCCGCGUGAGGGAUGGAGGCCUUCGGGUUGUGAACCUCUUUCGCUCAUGGUCAAGCCGCAACAAUGGUUGUGGUGAGGGUAGUGGGUAAAGAAGCGCCGGCUAACUACGUG